AUUGAACGCUGGCGGCAGGCCUAACACAUGCAAGUCGAGCGGAUGAAGGGAGCUUGCUCCUGGAUUCAGCGGCGGACGGGUGAGUAAUGCCUAGGAAUCUGCCUGGUAGUGGGGGAUAACGUCCGGAAACGGGCGCUAAUACCGCAUACGUCCUGAGGGAGAAAGUGGGGGAUCUUCGGACCUCACGCUAUCAGAUGAGCCUAGGUCGGAUUAGCUAGUUGGUGGGGUAAAGGCCUACCAAGGCGACGAUCCGUCACUGGUCUGAGAAGAUGAUCAGUCACACUGGAACUGAGACACGGUCCAGACUCCUACGGGAGGCAGAAGUGGGGAAUAUUGGACAAUGGGCGAAAGCCUGAUCCAGCCAUGCCGCGUGUGUGAAGAAGGUCUUCGGAUUGUAAAGCACUUUAAGUUGGGAGGAAGGGCAGUAAGUUAAUACCUUGCUGUUUUGACGUUACCAACAGAAUAAGCACCGGCUAACUUCGUG
rnacentral:rRNA from 1 species